AGAGUUUGAUCCUGGCUCAGGACGAACGCUGGCGGCGUGCCUAAUACAUGCAAGUAGAACGCUGACUACUUUAGCUUGCUAGAGUAGAAGGAGUUGCGAACGGGUGAGUAACGCGUAGGUAACCUGCCUACUAGCGGGGGAUAACUAUUGGAAACGAUAGCUAAUACCGCAUAACAGUGUUUAACACAUGUUAGAUGCUUGAAAGAUGCAAUUGCAUCACUAGUAGAUGGACCUGCGUUGUAUUAGCUAGUUGGUGGGGUAACGGCCCACCAAGGCGACGAUACAUAGCCGACCUGAGAGGGUGAUCGGCCACACUGGGACUGAGACACGGCCCAGACUCCUACGGGAGGCAGCAGUAGGGAAUCUUCGGCAAUGGGGGCAACCCUGACCGAGCAACGCCGCGUGAGUGAAGAAGGUUUUCGGAUCGUAAAGCUCUGUUGUAAGAGAAGAACGUGUGUGAGAGUGGAAAGUUCACACAGUGACGGUAACUUACCAGAAAGGGACGGCUAACUACGUGCCAGCAGCCGCGGUAAUACGUAGGUCCCGAGCGUUGUCCGGAUUUAUUGGGCGUAAAGCGAGCGCAGGCGGUUUAAUAAGUCUGAAGUUAAAGGCAGUGGCUUAACCAUUGUUCGCUUUGGAAACUGUUAAACUUGAGUGCAGAAUGGGAGAGUGGAAUUCCAUGUGUAGCGGUGAAAUGCGUAGAUAUAUGGAGGAACACCGGUGGCGAAAGCGGCUCUCUGGUCUGUAACUGACGCUGAGGCUCGAAAGCGUGGGGAGCAAACAGGAUUAGAUACCCUACAAGACCACGCCGUAAACGAUGAGUGCUAGGUGUUAGGCCCUUUCCGGGGAUA
rnacentral:rRNA from 1 species